rnacentral:rRNA from 1 species
UCUGACCUCUGACCUCAAAUCAGGUA